ACGCACCUUGCGCCCUUUGGCUAUUCCGAAGGGCAUGCCUGUUUGAGUAUCAUGAACACCUCAACUCUCAUGGCUUGCCAUGAUGGGCUUGGAUUAUGGGGGUCUUGCUGGCCUAUGGUCAGCUCCUCUCAAAUGGAUUAGCUUUCCAGUGUUUGGUGGCAUCACGAGUGUGAUAACUAUCUACGCUUGUGGUCUCCUGCCAGGUAACCUUCAGUGAUGGGGGUUCGCUGGGGCUCAUAAAUGUCUCUCCUCCGUGAAGACCAGGUUUUGAAUGUUUGAUCUCAAAUCAGGUAGGACUACCCGCUGAACUUAAGCAUAUCAAUAAGCGGAGGAAAAGAAACUAACAAGGAUUCCCCUAGUAACUGCGAGUGAAGCGGGAAGAGCUCAAAUUUAAAAUCUGGCGUGCCUCUGGUCGUCCGAGUUGUAGUCUGGAGAAGCGUCUUCCGUGUUGGACCGUGUAUAAGUCUCNUGGAACAGGGCGUCAUAGAGGGUGAGAAUC
rnacentral:rRNA from 1 species